rnacentral:rRNA from 1 species
UACGGAAGGGGCAAGCGUUGUUCGGAAUCAUUGGGCGUAAAGGGCGUGUAGGUGGUUCUGUAUGUCUACCGUGAAAGCGUACGGCUCAACCGUAUUUAGUCGGUAGAAACUGCAGGACUUGAGGCUGGGAGGGGCUGGUGGAAUUCCCCGUGUAGCGGUGAAAUGCGUAGAGAUGGGGGAGAACACUCGUGGCGAAGGCGGCCAGCUAGACCAGCUCUGACACUGAGGCGCGACAGCGUGGGGAGCAAACAGG